UUUAUAUUUUUAACUUUCGGCAUGCCAGUCUGUGAAACCUGCGAAGGCGAGGACUAUGAAGAAAUUGAUGGUUUCUUUUAUUGCACAACGUGUCAAACACAAUCUCAGGCUUUUCGUGUAGAAGAGGUGGAGGAUGACUUUAAUACCCAACCAUCAAGGUCAUUGCGGCUCAAAGCAAAAACUGUCAAGACAAAGUCAACUCGGCAACUGACAGACAUAGAGAAAGAGUUUGGUCGACCAUGGCACACAUAUGAAGCUUACCAAAAAGUUAUCAAAAAGCAAGUGAAAACUCUUAUUGCAAUGGGAGCAGAUCCUGCUUUAAAGGAUGUAGUUUUCAGGAUCUGGUGUAAAUAUCUCUCCCUCACUGGGAUAGCAUUCCCAGAGGAUCAAGCCAAACAAAAAACUGUAUUCUCAGGAUUCCAAAGAAAUAGAGAAGUAUACCCACCUACAAUAGAGAAUCCAGUUGUUCCUUUGGUCAGGUCCAAGAAGAAACGUCUACAAAAAUUUGGACUGUCGGUCUCCAAGAUCAGAAGGCUGCAGGAGCAACAAGUGAUGGUGGAAACCCUGAAGGGUAAAGAGCUUUACAAGGGAGACAACCCACUGGAGGAGUUGUCAAUCAAUGGAGAUUCAGAUAGCGAUGAGGACUUCCUGGGGUCAGAGGAAAACUGUAUUGUUGAAAGGAAAGAAGUGACCAUAAUGGUGAGGACACAAUGGAUGUCUAUGUUUAAAACUCUGUGCUUCUGUCUUCUUGGAAUGAGGAUCCUAAAAUGCCUAGUCACAGCUUCAGAUAUUGUAAGGUGGGUGAAACAAGGUCUCCUUCCCUAUAUGCAGGUGUCCACAACACUGCCAGCUAACAUGAAGUUUUGUUUUCUUGACAACAAUGCCUUUCAAACAAAAGUGCCACGCGUGGAUAAAAUGUACAAAACCACACAGAAACUACUUGACUAUCUUGAACUGAGGGAUGUCCAAAUUCAAGUACCAACACCUGUUCUGAUUAGCAAGUUUAUUGUUCUUCUAAAUCUGCCAGGUACGAAAGUACUGUAAAAUAGUCCAUACUAAUAAGGCCUUCACUAUUAGCAAUGAAUGCAAUACAAUUCAUCUUAAGGUCUCUUGUAGUUUCGUGUUUAGCUAAAGUUCAUUUUUCUGAUCUCAUUUUAUCCAGCAUUCCAUCCAUACUUUUUCUGUUUGAAUUGACAGCCGAGUUGCAUGGUUUCUGCCAGAGGUUGCAUAUGAUGAGAGUGGAGAAAAUCAAAGAACAAGAGGGGAUAGAGAUCUGUGAGAGCAACGAAGUCCUGGCCAUGAUGUGCAUCAUUACAACGCUACAGCUGAUGCUGGGCCUGAACGAUAGAAUGGAAUGGGAGCUUUCCAAAUGUGCCAAACAGAUAAUGGAGAUUCCAGGCUUUGAGCACCGCCUGUUUUGCUGGGACCAGUGGGUGUCCUACACCACCGACCAUAAACUGAGUGGUACCUACUCCUGUGUCCUGACCGCACAGUUUGACCCUAGAUCAGUCAAAGAUAUAGACAGAUAUGUGGAGGAAUUGAAAUCCCUGAAGAAAAAUGUCAGAAAGAUGAACGACAAUUGUAGAAAGAGAUGUGAAAAUAGACUAGUGAGAGAGGAAACCAUAUCUGCUAUUAAAAGGCCAAUUAAUCUACUUUUGGAGAAAGUGAAAGAGAAGGAGAAAAGACAUCCCAAGCCUGGCAGUGAGAGGGAGUCCAUGGCAGCUGAACUGUUAGAGAAGGAUCCAAUGGGGUAUUUCAUGGGGGAGUAUGAUGAGAAAUUAAUGGCCGAAAGUGAACCAGAGACCAUUUCAUUUAAACCAUGCAGCCUGAAGUACAUCACACAACCCAGGUCGUUUGUCCAGGAGUUGGAGAACUGUGGAUUAGAUGAGAGCACCAUCUACAGUUCCUGCUUAGAAAGUUCAGAUGAAGAUGAUAACAAAGAAAGUGACAAUGAAAAAUGUGACGAAAAUGAUGAGGAUUUUCACCAGUUGUCAAGUAGCAGGAGAAGAAACAAGAAAGAGAAGAAGACGAGAGUGAGAGAAAAACUGUCCAGGAUAGUUGAUUUAAACCAAUCGGGAAAUGAAAAGUUUGAUAAGAAAAAACUCUUAGAGAUUUCAGAUAUUGUCCUAAGUGUGCAUAAGAACUUUCCACUGGUCGAUCCAAUGAAUGCCUCUACCAACCAGAGCACUUCUCUUCAGUGGCUGAUACAAAUUUGUGCAGAAGUAAUUCAGUGUUCAGUGGAAGUUUUACAGUCAGAGCUGGUGAGGUUUCAGAUCUCCAUGUUUGGUGAAGAUGACACAUUACAGACAAACCGCAGAGAAUUUUUGCAAGAUGUUGCAAAUCAAACAUAGUGUCUCCAUUCAAUAUAUAACCAUUGUUGUUUUAAAGUAAAGUUCUAAGA
rnacentral:misc_RNA from 1 species